AAACAUAGUGACUGAAUCACACAUGUCCUAAAGAACCACCACAUCCCAGCUUGUGUUCCUGGCUUACCACAGUGUCACAACAAAGAUAACCUGUUAAAUCCAAGAGUUCAGCUUUUUUUUUUUUUUGGUGGGGAAGAUUGGCCCUGAGCUAACACCUAUUGCCAAUCCUCCUCUUUUUCGCUUGAGGAAGAUUGUCACUGAGCUAACAUUUGUGCCAGUCUUCCUCUAUUUCAUGUGGGAUGCCACCUCAGCAUGGCUUGGUGAGUGGUGCCAUGUCCACGCCCAGGAUCCAAACUGGCAAAACCCUGGGCCGCCAAAGCAGAGCAUGAAAACCCAACCACUCAGCCACUGGGCAGCCCCUUCAUCCUAUUGUUUUAAGUUGAAAGAAUCGAGGAAGAUGUUUUAUACAAGAACCAUAAAUGAAGUUGCUUAUUUAUUCAGAGACCAGUUGGAGGGGGCGCUCUUAGGCUCUGACACCUGAGGAUAUGCCCAGGAAAAGCUCUGCUUUCCUGGCCAGGGUGGAAAAGCUGUUCCCAAGCAGGCCUCAGAUCCGGCUGGCCUGGAACCAGGCUCCCAGGAGCAGGCCAAUUUGGGCCCAGCUCCCUAGCAACAGGGCGCUGUUAGGUAGCAGCAAGGGCUCACCAGGCUUCAGCAAAAGGAGACCACUCAAGUGUGCACCCCCGUAUCUCUGUGCGAUGUCCAAAGACUUGUCACUAUAAGCUUGAUCCACUGUUCUGGCAGCUAGCACUACAGUACGCCAAGGGAGCAUGUGCCCUCCUGGAGAGGCCCCAAGUCCACCCCUACUGGGCCCUGGCUGCACCAUCCAGCAACAACACGCUGCCGUCAGGAUGCUUGCACGUAGUGCUGGGGGAGCAGGCACAUAAAAGUGAGGAGGAGAAGAAAUAGAGGCUUCGCCUAAACGCAUUCCACACGGUCCGUGUUCCAGUCAUUUGAACGUCAUUCUUCGUGAUCAGUUCAAGUCUCCGGCACAGUCAGGCUCAGUGAUUGAAGAAUCCACACUGAACAGGAAAGGAGGGCAGGCUCUCACCACCUAGCCCCUGGAUCACCUGGGAGGCAGCUGCUGUCUCUGCCCUUUCUGCCAGGGGACUC
rnacentral:lncRNA from 1 species